rfam:Dipodomys ordii contig_49924, whole genome shotgun sequence.
GGGAAGGUGGCUCAGUGGCAGAGCGCUUGCCUUGCAUGCAUGAGGCCCUGGGUUCAAUCCCUCAGCACCCCA